ensembl:lncRNA
UGUGGGAGUAGCUGGACCAAACUCUAUUGGUAUUUCAAGUUUGAAAUCCCUGUUUGACCAGACUAACAUUUCAGAUGAGGUAAUAGAUGGCCUAAUCAAUUUGCAGUGUGAGAAUUUCCCUCACAUUUAUCCAAUACCAAGCCAAAUCACUGGAAAAAUUUUGGAUGGGUCCACAAGAGCACAAAGGGCAUACUUUUUGAAGAAAAACAUCUUUCAGAUGUAUGAGAAAUUGAUUGGAGCCUGUCUGGAAAACGGCAGCCACUGGACCUUGUUUUUUUGUGAUAUACCCAAGAGGACCAUAGUCUAUAUGAAUUCAUUUGGCGAGUCGGAGGUCAGAAAAAGUGCGGUGUUGAAAAACUGGAGGUAAUUAAUUAACAUAUUUAACAUAACAUAUUUAAUUUAAUUGAAAUCAUUACCGAACGUGGUUAUUGAUUUCUCUAUAUGCUUUUUAUUUGUAAUAACUGCGAUCUCUCAACUCAUUUGCUUCAGCAAGAGGCUGCGCUGGAGAGUGGACCUUGUCACAUGUGAGCCACCCACAUCAACAGGAUGGGAACUCAUGUGGAGUGCAUGUCAUAAUGUUUGCCCAAUCUCUCAUUGACGGUAAAACACAAGUGGAGGAGUACAACACUGAAGUCACAAAGCUCAGGUCCCGACUUUGCCACUACUUAUUUUCCUCAAUAGAUCGAACUAGGAAGUGCAGUCAGUGCUGGUGUGUGAUUGCAGCCAAAGACCGGGUGCAGUGCCAGAAAUGUGGUGCAUACAAGCACAUGCGUUGUUCAAAGUCUGGUUGUGGCAUCUGUAUCUUCUGUGAGAGGCCGUAAAGCCAAACUGCCCGCAAUGAUUCUUGACAGGCCUAAGAAGGCCAAAACUAAAGUAACAGUGUUUAGUGUUCUGAGUGAAGAGGAGGCUGGGGAGCUAGCCCUCGGGUUUGCCGGAAGAUUGGCCUGCGAUGUCACAACAGACAUGGUCUGUAAAGGCAUCGACCAUUCAAGUGCUGAUAUGACAAAACAGACUCUUCUCAAAAUCCAACACAACCUUAAACAGGAACUGACUGAUUCCUCAACCUUCAGUUUGCUGACACACACCUUUGGCCCCGCUGCACUGGAUUCUGUCAUUUCAUUCCUGUGUGAAAAACUUGAUCUUGUCUCUUAAAUAAUGAAACCUUUUGUGACUUUUGUUUGUUCUGUAAAUCAGAAUCUUGAAAAUUGUUCAUUGUUGUUCUAAGUUUGUGUUAACUAUUUGGCAAAAAUGAUUGGUUCCUAAUCCAAACAGCAUAAUGACUGUUCUAACACACAUCUUAAAAAUGCUACAAAGAAAGAAAAUUAUCACAUAUGUUUCAAUAUGAAUGUAAUUGUGUCACACUCGGA